rnacentral:lncRNA from 1 species
GUCAGAAGUUUAUGCUUGGGACAUCCCACCAGAAGUUUAUAUCUAGGACAUCCUUAGGGCUGGAACUAGGUCGGGCCAGGUCGGGCCCUACCCUAGUUCGAGCCCAGUCCAAAAUAAUUUUUCAGGCUUCGAGCUGGGCUUAGGCCCGAUUUUUUUGAAAAAGUAUAGGCCCCAGCCCAGCCCGAGCCCAAUCGGAUCGGCCCACAUCCAAUCAUGCUUCAACCUCUUCACGCCCAACCACUACAUCCGGCACC